rnacentral:rRNA from 1 species
AUAAGUUGGUAGCAGUAGACCCGAAACCACAGUGAUCUACCCAUGUCCAGGUUGAAGCACAGGUAAAAAUGUGUGGAGGACCGAACCAGUGAGCGUUGAAAAGCUUUUGGAUGAGAUGUGGGUAGGGGUGAAAUGCCAAUCGAACGUGGAGAUAGCUGGUUCUCCCCGAAAUAGCUUUAGGGCUAGCCUCAUGGUAAGAGUACAGGCGGUAGAGCACUGAACGAGGUAGGGGCCUAUCCGGCUACCGAACUUAAUCAAACUACGAAUGGCUGUACUUAUACAUGGGAGUCAGACUGCGAGUAAUAAGGCCCGUAGUCAAGAGGGAAACAGCCCAGACCAACAGCUAAGGUCCCCAAUGCCGUACUAAGUGGCGAAGGAUGUGGAAUUUCGAAAACAACCAGGAUGUUGGCUUAGAAGCAGCCACCAUUAAAAGAGUGCGUAAUAGCUCACUGGUCGAGAGACUCUGCGCCGAAGAUGACCGGGGCUAAAGUACGGAACCGAAGCUUUGGCAAGUAUCUUGAGAUACUUGGGUAGGGGAGCGUUCCUGCAUGGGAGAAGCCUGACCGGAAGGACAGGUGGACAGGCAGGAAGAGAGAAUGCCGGUAUGAGUAGCGAAAAGAAAGGUGAGAAUCCUUUCCACCGAAAGCCUAAGGGUUCCUGGGCAACGAUCGUCGACCCAGGGUAAGUCGGGACCUAAUCCGAGGCGGAGACGCGUAGGAGAUGGACAACAGGUUGAAAAUCCUGUACCGCAGGAGUCUGUUUGAGCGAAGGAGUGACACAGAAAGGAAUGCGCGCGUGCGAUUGGAAGAGCACGUCCAAGCUGGUAGGUUGUGUGGCAGGCAAAUCCGCCAUACUAAAAGCCGAGAAGUGAUGGGGAGCCAUUGGAGACAAUGGCGAAGGGGCAGGAACUAGGCUGUCGAGAAAAGCUUCUAGUGAGGACUCAGGCGCCCGUACCGAAACCGACACAGGUAGGCAGGAAGAGAAUUCUAAGGUGCGCGGGAAAACCCUCGUUAAGGAACUCGGCAAAAUGUAUCCGUAACUUCGGGAAAAGGAUAGCCUAAAGUAUGUGAGCUGCAGAAACGCAGGGAGCAGGAAUAGGCGGCAGAAGAGAGGCCCAAGCGACUGUUUACCACAAACACAGGCGUCUGCUAAAGCGAAAGCUGACGUAUAGAUGCUGACACCUGCCCGGUGCUGGAAGGUUAAGAGGACGUGUUAGCCGUAAGGCGAAGCAGAGAAUUGAAGCCCCAGUAAACGGCGGCCGUAACUAUAACGGUCCUAAGGUAGCGAAAUUCCUUGUCGGGUAAGUUCCGACCCGCACGAAAGGUGUAACGAUUUGGGCACUGUCUCAACGAGGGACCCGGUGAAAUUGAAGUACCUGUGAAGAUGCAGGUUACCCGCGACUGGACAGAAAGACCCCAUGGAGCUUUACUGUAACCUGAGAUUGGAUUCCGGUAAGAGAUGUACAGGAUAGUUGGGAGGCUGAGAAGCGGGUACGCCAGUAUCCGCAGAGCCGCUGGUGGGAUACCAACCUUGUUUUAUUGGGAUUCUAACGAGAGACGUAACGAGUCUUUGGACAGUCUCAGGCGGGCAGUUUGACUGGGGCGGUCGCCUCCGAAAGAGCAACGGAGGCGCCCAAAGGUUCCCUCAGCGCGGACGGAAACCGCGCGAAGAGUGUAAAGGCAGAAGGGAGCUUGACUGCGAGACGGACAGGUCGAGCAGGGACGAAAGUCGGGCUUAGUGAUCCGGUGGUAGAGAGUGGAAUUGCCAUCGCUCAACGGAUAAAAGCUACCCUGGGGAUAACAGGCUUAUCUCUCCCAAGAGUCCAUAUCGACGGGGAGGUUUGGCACCUCGAUGUCGGCUCAUCACAUCCUGGGGCUGAAGUAGGUCCCAAGGGUUGGGCUGUUCGCCCAUUAAAGUGGUACGCGAGCUGGGUUCAGAACGUCGUGAGACAGUUCGGUCCCUAUCCAUCGCGGGCGGAAGAAACUUGAAAGGGGCUGCUCCUAGUACGAGAGGACCGGAGUGGACGGACCAAUGGUGUACCAGUCAUGGCGCCAGCCGUGCAGCUGGGUAGCUACGUCCGGGACGGAUAAACGCUGAAAGCAUCUAAGCGUGAAACCAGCCUAAAGAUGAGGUUUCUCAUUGUGAAAGCA